rnacentral:misc_RNA from 1 species
AACUUUCAGCAAUGGAUCUCUUGGCUCUCGCAUUGAUGAAGAACGCAGCGAAAUGCGAUAUGUAAUGUGAAUUGCAGAAUUCAGUGAAUCAUCAAAUCUUUGAACGCACCUUGUGCCCUUUGGCAUUCUGAGGGGCACACCCGUUUGAGUGUCGUGACAUUCUCAAAAACCUUCUUUGGUUUCUUGACCAGGAAGGCUUUUGGACUUUGGAGGCUUUUGGACUUUGGAGGCUUUUGCUGGCCUUCCUUUGUUGAAGCCAGCUUCUCUGAAAUGAAUUAGUGGGGUCUGCUUUGCCUAUCCUUGACGUGAUAAGAUGUUUUCUACGUCUUGGGUUUUGCACUGUUCCUGCUUCUAACCGUCUCAUAGAAGACAAUGGUCAAGUGAUUGCCACUUGACCCACAAACCUUGACCUCAAAUUGGGUGAGACUACCUGCUGAACUUAAGCAUAUCAAUAAGCGGAGGCU